rnacentral:rRNA from 1 species
CCUAGUGGCGAACGGGUGAGUAACGCGUGAGUAACCUGCCUCAUACAACGGGAUACCCGAGGGAAACUUCGGUUAAUACGGUAUAAGACCACACUACCGCAUGGUAGAGGGGUAAAAAGGGGCAACCUGGUAUGAGAUGGACUCGCGUCGCAUUAGCUAGUUGGUGAGGUAACGGCCCACCAAGGCGACGAUGCGUAGCCGACCUGAGAGGGUGAUCGGCCACAUUGGGACUGAGAUACGGCCCAGACUCCUACGGGAGGCAGCAG